rnacentral:rRNA from 1 species
UACGAAGGGGGCUAGCGUUGCUCGGAAUCACUGGGCGUAAAGCGCACGCAGGCGGGUCGUUAAGUCAGGGGUGAAAUCCCGAGGCUCAACCUCGGAACUGCCUUUGAUACUGGCGACCUUGGAGUCCGGGAGAGGUGAGUGGAACUCCGAGUGUAGAGGUGAAAUUCGUAGAUAUUCGGAAGAACACCAGUGGCGAAGGCGGCUCACUGGCCCGGUACUGACGCUCAUGUGCGAAAGCGUGGGGAGCAAACAGG